GGUGGAGCGAUUUGUCUGGUUAAUUCCGAUAACGAACGAGACUCUGGCCUAUUAAAUAGACGGUAUAUUAAAAAGUAUACCGCACUUCUUAGAGGGACAAGCGGCGUCUAGUCGCGUGAAAAAGAGCAAUAACAGGUCUGUGAUGCCCUUAGAUGUCCGGGGCUGCACGCGCGCUACACUGAAAGAAUCAGUGUGCGUUUUACCUAGUUCGGAAGAACCGGGUAACCCAAGUAAAUUCUUUCGUGCUUGGGAUAGGGAAUUGCAAUUAUUUCCCUUAAACGAGGAAUUCCCAGUAAAUGCGGGUCAUAAGCUCGCGUUGAAUACGUCCCUGCCCUUUGUAC
rnacentral:rRNA from 1 species